UUUGUACGAGAAGAAUCUCUUGACGUGUCAGGGGUUGACGGUAUCGUACGAAUAAGCAUCGGCUAACUCCGUGCCAGCAGCCGCGGUAAUACGGAGGAUGCAAGCGUUAUCCGGAUGCAUUGGGUUUAAAGGGUGCGUAGGCGGGAUAUUAAGUCAGUGGUGAAAUCCUGCAGCUUAACUGUAGAACUGCCAUUGAUACUGAUAUUCUUGAGUAUAGUUGAAGUGGGCGGAAUGUGUAAUGUAGCGGUGAAAUGCUUAGAUAUUACACAGAACACCGAUUGCGUAGGCAGCUCGCUAAACUAAUACUGACGCUGAGGCACGAAAGCGUGGGGAGCGAACAGGAUUAGAUACCCUGGUAGUCCACGCUGUAAACUAUGAUCACUCGUUGUUGGCGAUACACAGUCAGCGACUGAGCGAAAGCAUUAAGUGAUCCACCUGGGGAGUACGGCCGCAAGGUUGAAACUCAAAGGAAUUGACGGGGGCCCGCACAAGCGGAGGAACAUGUGGUUUAAUUCGAUGAUACGCGAGGAACCUUACCUGGGCUUAAAUGCAGAACGACGUCCGCCGAAAGGCAGAUUCCCUUCGGGGCGGACUGCAAGGUGCUGCAUGGUUGUCGUCAGCUCGUGCCGUGAGGUGUCGGGUUAAGUCCCAUAACGAGCGCAACCCUUAUUGUUAGUUGCCAGCGGGUAAUGCCGGGGACUCUAACGAAACUGCCGGUGUAAACCGAGAGGAAGGUGGGGAUGACGUCAAAUCAGCACGGCCCUUACGUCCAGGGCUACACACGUGUUACAAUGGCCGGUACAAAGGGCAGCUACCUGGUAACAGGAUGCUAAUCUCGAAAGCCGGUCUCAGUUCGGAUUGAAGUCUGCAACUCGACCUCAUGAAGUUGGAUUCGCUAGUA
rnacentral:rRNA from 1 species